AAAAAUAAGGAGCACUAAGUACGUAAUCUUGAAUUUUGGCUCUAAACCCCCGUUUUCAAGUUCUAAGUUGUGUAUGUAAACCCUUCUUCUUCCUUAUACGAACGAUUCUUGAAUUACCUGGAAUUCCAGGCAGACGAAAUUCUACCAGAAAACAAACAUCAUCACUUACUACCUUCGGCUCUCAUCUCCGACGACGUUCCGCCUAUCACACCUCAAUUCCAUUGCAGCAGACAACGUCAAAAAUUCAUCACAAUUCGCAAUUUCAAUCUACCUAGCAAAUUGUAUUGGGAGAAACUGACUGCUACAUCACAAUUCGCAAUUUCAUUACAGGUUAAUUUGGUCGUGGGAAGCCAUCAUUUUCAUCAUCAACCCCAGAAAUCACAUUUACUCAGAAUUUCCCACCUACUUAUUGCCGUUGUGGUGGAGGAUUCCGCAUAAUUAAGCUGAUUCCCAGAAAAAAAUCAACACUUUUAUUCUUGCCCUAACAAAUAUGAAAUGCACUGCAGAUACUUCAAAUGGUGUCAUAAACUGAAGAAAGAAGAGAUUUUGAUUCAUCGUCAACCACCUUAUACUUGUUGUUCAUGUGGGGCUGGAAUUUGCAGGCUUGAAACUGCGAGACAAAAACCUUUUAUUGGUCAUAAGUAUUUUGCUUGCAGAAUUCUCAAGGUGAGGCCUAAUUUUGCUGGGAGUUUUUUUAAUCAGUUUUAAUUGACUUACUUAGUUUUUUGAAGAAUUGCAAAAUGGUUCUAUCUAGUUGUGUUAUUUGGAUGUUGAUGUAUGCAAUGUGGGGUUUGUAUUUGUCUUCUUGUUAGAACCGUUAUAUUGGAAUGUUGGUUAAUGAUAAUGAGUAAUGACUCAUAAUAUUUGUUGCUCUA